AGGGGUUCAAAUGAAGAAAAAAAAUACAGAUCAUGAAGCUUGGACAGAGUUGGCUCGCUGGAUGCGAUGUACAGCGCCAUCUCAAACUGCCAUUUCAGUGCUUACAGGCCUCACAAAUGACAACUACAGCUCUCCUCGUGUGAAGACCGAAGAGUGUAAAGACCAUCGACUCUACUGUGCGACUCCACCGGGCAGGAACACUGGCAAGGGAUAUAAGUAUCGCUUUUUAUUUAUCCUCUUUCCUACUACUUGUUUCACUUCUGUAUUAGUUUUUAUAACCAAUUCUUACUGUGUUUUCAGAUCACUACUAUCACUACCACUCGCAAACCACGCAUCACACACUGUAGACAGCGCAAUUCUGUAGACAGACCCCUCCAGGAUCACUAGGUAACUUUGUGGAAGAAUUAGAUUUGUUGCUCUCAACCUUUCCUGAGGUUGGUACUCCCUUAGUUAUACUUAGGAGACUUCUAGAUAAACCUCAGGCUGCAGACUCUUAGAGAAAAAUGGCCGUUUAGACCGGAUUUAGACUGUUUCAUAGUACUGAGACUGCUCUCAUUAGAGUUACAAAUGACCUGCUCUUGUCAUCUGAUCAUGGCUGGAUCUUUCUAUUAGUACUGCUGGAUCUUAGCGCUGCGUUCGACACUAUAGACCACAACUAGAAAACUUUGUUGGCAUUAAUGGCUUAGCAUGGGUCAAAUCGUACUCAUCUGACCGCCAUCAAUUUGUAGCACUGAAUGAAGAGGUAUCAUAUCGAUCACAAGUGCAGUAUGGAGUACCUCAAGGCUCAGUACUAGGGCCGUUACUUUUCACGCUUGUUGCCCUUAGGAAAUAUCAUCAGGAAACACGCUGUUAGCUUUCACUGUUAUGCUGAUGAUACUCAGCUCUAUAUUUCUUCACGCCCCGGUGAAACACACCAAAUUGAGAAACUAACGGAAUGCAUAGUGAAUAUAAAAAACUGGAUGAGUAAUUUCUUACUGCUAAAUUCUGAAAAAACAGAGGUGUUAAUUAUCGGACCUAAAACCCCAAAAUGUAAUAACUUAGAACACUGUCUAACACCUGACGGCUGCUCUGUCAAUUCUUCGUCAUCAGUUAGGAACCUAGGUGUGCUAUUUGAUAGCAAUCUUUCCUUUGACAGCCACGUUUCUAGCAUUUGUAAAACUGCAUUUUUUCAUCUUAAAAAUAUAUCUAAAUUGAGACCUAUGCUCUCAAUGUCAAAUGCAGAAAUGUUAAUUCAUGCAUUUAUGACCUCAAGGUUAGAUUAUUGUAAUGCUUUAUUGGGUGGUAGUUCUGUUCGCUUAAUAAACAAACUACAGAUGGUCCAAAAUGCAGCAGCUAGAGUUCUUACUAGAACCAGGAAGUAUGACCACAUUAACCCGGUUCUGUCAACACUGCACUGGCUCCCUACUAAACAUUGUAUAGAUUUUAAAAUCUUGUUAAUUACUUAUAAAACCCUGAAUGGUUUAGCUCCUCAGUACUUGAGCGAGCUCUUAUCGCAUUAUAGUCCUCCACAUCCACUGUGUUCUCAAAACUCUGGCCGUUUGAUAAUACCUAGAAUAUCAAAAUCGACUGCGGGCGGCAGAACCUUUUUCUUAUUUAGCGCCAAAACUCUGGAACAAUCUACCUAUCACUGUUUGGGAGGCAGACACACUCUGUCAGUUUAAAGCUAGAUUAAAGUAAUACGCUUCUAAUAUUCAAAUCCGUUAAAGGAUUGUUAGGCUGCAUUAAUUAGGUGAACCAGAACCAGGAACACUCCCCAUAACACCCUGAUGUACUUGUUACAUCGUAAGAAGAAUGGCAUCUACGUUAAUAUUGGUCUAUUUCUUUCUUAUUCCGAGAUCACUGUUGCCACCCGAUCCAGUCCGUAUCCAGAUCAGAUGGUGGAUCAGUACCUAGAGACGACCUCUACAGCCCUGAACAUCAGCGGACUUCAGGACACCUAGAUGAGCCCCAGAGACAAAUCUCCAGUGAGGACUUCAUUACCUAGACAGCCAUCGGGACAAGACCACAGGAACCAAAUGAGUCCUUUACAAAAUCUGACUUUUCUGCAGUUGGAAUUGAACUGCCAUUUUGUCUGGUCAGAGGAGAACUGGCCCCCGACUGAGUCUGGUUUCUCCCAAGGUUUUUUUCUCCAUUCUGUCACCGAUGGAGUUUUGGUUCUUUGCCGCUGUCGCCUCUGACUUGCUUAGCUGGGGACGCUUAUUUUCCAGCGAUGUCUACAUGAUUGCACAGAUACUAUUUAAACUGAACUGAGCUGGAUGAUUUUACAUUAUUGACACUAUUUUCCUAUUCUGAUAUUGGAAAGUUGCUUUGACACAAUCUGUAUUGUUAAAAGCGCUAUAUAAAUAAAGGUGAC